ensembl:lncRNA
AGGUCUUCUUUAAUGCAGAUGAAAUGAUCAAAUGCAAUUUUACCUGAUUAUUAUCAUCAUGCAUUUUAGUCAUUCAUAUUGGAAAAAUAUGGCAAGAUUGGAUGAUAUGUCUUGACGGUGGCCUAAAUGAUUAAAUGAUUAAAGUCCUCCUCAGAAGGCCAUGUUCAUGAGUUCAGGGGUUGUGAUCGUGAUGGGUCUUUAAAUGGUUUUGAUUAGGGGGAGUGAAAACUUGAGAAGAACAGUGGAUUGUGUGAGAAAACAUUUGGCUUAUUUAUUUAUUUAUUUAACAAUAGAUUUAUUCAAUUUAUUCUCCUGGGCAGAAAAAAAAUAUGGUCCCAGCACAAAAUGGCAAAAUAUUUGAAUGGUCUUAACAACAAAUCAAUGCAAGAAUUAAACAAAUAGAUAAAGUAACUUAGCAUGGGAUAGCUUUUCCCUGUCUUUCUUUCUUUUUUUUUUUUAUAAAUGUAUUUAUUUAUUUUUAACUUAUGUUAGUUUGAAUUUUACAUCAAACAUGGUAAUCAUAUCAUUAUCAUGAUUGAUCCAUAGCAGGGCAUAAUCACAUUCAUGGACUCUUUGGACACGUCGAUCAGGCUUCCAUGCAUGUCUUUGGACUGGGGGAGGAAACCGGUUUACCCUUAGGAAACCCCCGCAGUCUCAGGUGCAGCCUUGUGGUGUGAAAUGAACGUUAAUUCAUUGGUUUUAGACAAUUUGUCCGCUUUGAUAAUGUAAUUAAACUGGAAAAAGGCUAAUACAUACUAAGUUGCUAGCUUGUCAAUAAAUAACAGUAGCCUGUUAGUGUUAAAUAUUGUUUUUACAUUUUAUUUACAGUCUAUAAUUGAUUUAAGAUAAGAUAAACUUUAUUGAUCCCACGCUGGGGAAAUUCACUUAGAGAUUUGAUUAGAGAUUUAAUUCCUCAUAUAUAGAGUAUUUGUUCAGUUGUUUUUAUUCUAUUGUUUAUUACAUUGUUUUCCCUCAUCUUAAGGCCUCCAGAUAUUCAGAAUGCCCAUGAUGCAAUGGUGGCUUUCAGUGACAUCACAGUUCCAGAAUGAGUUCUAAUUCUAUCGUCACUUAGUAACAGCAUUUUACAAGCUAGUGAUUUCACUUGUUACAUGUUACUGAUCACCGUUAAGCAAUGUAUUCCAGGACAGUCAAGGAAACGAAUGACAAGAAGGAAGAUAUCGUUCCUGAGCUAUCCAUAAAGUUUAGGAUCUCUAGGAUGAUGUCUAGGAUGAUGUCUAGGAUCUCUACGAUAACGUCUAGGAUCUUUAGGAUAAUGUCUUUCAAUGAAGUGGGCCCGGACAUUCAGUGGUGUGCAAUUCUAGGCUUUUUGACACUAGUCCUUGUGUGCAUUUACUACAUUCUCUGCCCCAGCAUUGCAUUCUUAUGGAACGUCAUGACUACCGUGAUCAGCGUGAUGUCUUCUCACAUAUCCCAUCAUGUGGCUGAGCAACACGGCGAAUUGAAGAACACCUUUUCUGAAGUGAUGAAGUGGACACAGCAGAGGACGCGCCGGGAAGAGAUGGAUUUUUUCAGACAGGAGUUUCUGAAACAGGAAGACAUGAUACAGUCGCUUAGAUCUGAUGUGAAAGACCUUCGAUUCCUUCUAGAAGAUGCCACAAGGAGCAUGAAAGAGUUGCAGAUUCAGAUGGCCCGUUUGAUAAAGGAGUAUUCUGAGAACCAGAAAGACAUGGCACAGCUACUCAUGUCUGAUGUGCACACGCUGAAACUUUUUAAAGUAGAUGCCGCAACCAAACUGACAGAUUUACAGAAAGAGCUACACAUUUUAAAGAACGAUGGAACAAGAAUGACAGACAAGUCUUCAGAUACACAACCUCUCCUCGAUCAUAACAGAUGAUGGAGGAGAAAUGGCAGGGAAUGCACCAGGAGUCUGAGAAGGGAAAGGUGUUAGGGACAUUUGUCUACAACUACGACGGAAAUCCCAUUCAGACCUUUUUCUUUGAAGCCGUCACCAUUUUUUUUCGGCAAGCAAUUCAUUAUACAAAGAUAUUUCUCCUUUCCCUGAACCCUGAGAAUGACCAUAUAACUCAUUUAAAAAAAAAAAAAGAAAAUAUUUAAUUAGAUAAAUAAAACUAGGUAUUAACAGGAACUUUACACAUACACAUCUAAACACAUCACACCAUCCAGAAAGAUAAACAGUACAUUAAUACAGGUUUGAAAUGCUAAAUAAAGAUGAAUAAUGCGACUGUUUCCAGAAAUUUCUUUCCGCGCUCAACCCAGUUUGAUUUCACCAAUAUCAAUGUGCAUGGGUAAUCAGAGAAGAAACAGAUAUAAAUUGGGCUAAUUUUUUUAAUCUGAGGAGUGUUCAUAAAAAAAGGAGCCAGAUUAAGAGGCUAGAUAUUAUCAUGCUGUUUCGAUACAGUGGGACAUUUUAGUUUACACAACUGCCUGAAGUGAAAAGUUCGACUAGAGCUGAAGUGAGAGAGUGAUUUGACACUGUGGGGGAUUAAUAGGAAUAAAUAAACACUUGUAAAACUGUCGUCAUGCUUGAGGUGGUUUAAACAUGGCCGCUGGUCCAUCAUCAUCAUCAUCA